CUCAGAACUAGAAGUGCUCUCAUAAGCUAAUCAAAAGUGAAACUGGAAGUCCUCCCAUAAGCUAAUGUAAUACAACACAUUCAACAAUAGAUAACAAAAUCUGUUUGCUGAGAACAUCAAAAGUUAAUCUGGCAAUGACUUCUUAUCUACAAGGCGAAAAUGUGGAUACAUUAUAAAAAAUGAAACACAACUCCCCCUUGUCAAAUACUCCCACACACUGUUUUUCUUGUGAUUAUUAAAUCGAGUUCCUCAACAAACAUUCUAUUUAUCCAGUGUAGCAAAUGAGUAUAUUAAGCAACAGCUUCAGGGGGUACUUUCCAGAAAAAAGUUGCCUUCCUAGUCUUUGAAACAUUCUGCAGAAUUGCCUCUGGC
rnacentral:lncRNA from 1 species